rnacentral:rRNA from 1 species
GCUUUCGGGUGUCGCUGAUGGAUGGACCCGCGGUGCAUUAGCUAGUUGGUGAGGUAACGGCUCACCAAGGCGACGAUGCAUAGCCGACCUGAGAGGGUGAUCGGCCACAUUGGGACUGAGACACGGCCCAAACUCCUACGGGAGGCAGCAGUAGGGAAUCUUCGGCAAUGGACGAAAGUCUGACCGAGCAACGCCGCGUGAGUGAAGAAGGUUUUCGGAUCGUAAAACUCUGUUGUUAGAGAAGAACAAGGAUGAGAGUAACUGUUCAUCCCUUGACGGUAUCUAACCAGAGAGCCACGGCUAACUACGUGCCAGCAGCCGCGGUAAUACGUAGGUGGCAAGCGUUGUCCGGAUUUAUUGGGCGUAAAGCGAGCGCAGGCGGUUUCUUAAGUCUGAUGUGAAAGCCCCCGGCUCAACCGGGGAGGGUCAUUGGAAACUGGGAGACUUGAGUGCAGAAGAGGAGAGUGGAAUUCCAUGUGUAGCGGUGAAAUGCGUAGAUAUAUGGAGGAACACCAGUGGCGAAGGCGGCUCUCUGGUCUGUAACUGACGCUGAGGCUCGAAAGCGUGGGGAGCAAACAGGAUUAGAUACCCUGGUAGUCCACGCCGU